UCAUCUAUCUAUCUAUCAUUUAUCUAUAUGUAUGAAGAUAGAGCAUGUUUAGAUAUAAAAUAUUUAUGGAUCACUCAUGAAGUUGCAGUGGUUGUCAUCAUUGAAAAUAAAGCAUCAGUUUAAUUACUUUGAUUCAUAUAUAACCAAACAGGCUAUAGCUAGUGUGCAUUCUUGUAUAUGAAUGCAUGGAAAUAUAAUACCUUGUUUUAAGACAGCAUUUUAAAUGCUAUCUCUUUAACCUGAAUUCAGUGACCAGAAAGAGCAAGUAUAAAUUCUGACCUCUGGCCAUCGAAACAGCAAUAGCAAGCAGUAUUUGCUUGCAAGUGGAUGGUGCCUGGCAGAGGAGAAAAAAACAAGAACAAAACCAAUAAACACAAGAUACAGGAACCUCACAGACUCAAAGAAGCCCAGUCAAAAACAAAAUAAUUGGUGCCUACCAGCAUUCAUACAUUCAACUAUCCUCACUGCUUUCCAUCUAGACACCCAAGUAUAGAAAGGAACCUAUGGAUAGACCUGAUACCAUGGAGUCAUCUGCACAUAGAAGACAGAAAAACUAUUCCAAAUAAUUAAAUUCAAGAAGCAGGUUGUCUUGCCCUUUAACAUAAUGGGGAUGGACAUAUUUUAUUAAAUAAGUGGUGGAAUGAUGGUGGGUUAGGGGCUGGGGCAGAUUUUGGGUGUUCUAUAUCCAGUGAUCCACUGGGAAAUUUCAUAAGAAAAAAAAAGGUGUGGUUUGGAGGAAAAGGAAGAAGGUGAUGAUCUGCCAUGCUGGAGUCAAGUGCAUUUGGGGAGAGAAAGAAAUAGGGAUUACUAUUUUAGCUAGAGUAUCCCUUCCUAUAAAUUGUACAGGACAGUUUAAUUCUACUAGAAAUAGGUUGAAUAAGAGGAUAUCCCUAAAACAACUGAUAAGUGGUGGAGUCUGAUGAAAUUGUUACUACUAUUUCCUUAUGUUAACAAUAAAAAAAUCUAGAGGAGAAUUGAAUCUCCAAAACUUUUAUCAGGACUGAAAAUGUGGUGACAGUAUGUAGAAGGAAGGAGCUGGAUCACUCUAAUGCUGUGAUUACUACCUGAGGCUUCCUCUCAGAGAUGAUGUCGGUUAGGACAGGAGAACCUGAGCAACCUCAGUCAUCUAUGGCCAGACCUAGAAGGUUAGCUAGAAAGUGAUCUGGUCUUGAUGUCCUCAUGCUGAGGAGGACAGGAGGACAAUAGGGAAGGGUUGGACACAACCAAAAGUGCCACAAAUGACCAGAGAAAUGGUGGGAUUAUAGGCACAUUGAAUAGAAGGCAAAAGAACAGAGUGGGAAGGCGCACAAAAGUCCUGUUAGAUUAAGAAACUACAGGAUUUCAGCUCCCAUGGUGGGAGGCUGAAUGGAGUCAAGUGAAGAGAGGGCCAGCAUAAACUUGAAGUCCAUGUCUAGAGAUAUUUUCACAUCCAAAAGUACCAGAGGUGUGCUGGACCCUCACCAGUCAUUUCCUUGGACUCAGGAAUAUAUUGUCACUGAGGAAAGAGGAAACUUACCUAAUUUCCACCACUGGAUGGUGGUCUAAGUGACUGAUGGAUUGGAAGUUAUGUUUGUUGCAGGUAGCCUGCAGUCAACAACUCCAGUGCAGAAUGGACCCUGAAGAGGAAUUCAAGCACCAACAGAGCCUAUGCAACCACAUCUUGUAUAUAAUUCAUCUGCAUGGUCACAAAUAGAAAGUGAAGAUCAACCACAAUGACUUCAAAUGGGACUCUAUUCUGCAGAUGCUUAUCUUCAGAUCUCAGCCUGGACAUGAUUUGCAAUAGUGCAGACAAAGACUAUAUUUAAACAAUUUUAGAGUUAUGGAGGUUUGCUGUGACGUAUGGAGGUUGAUAAAGCAGAACUGAGUUCCCUGACCUGGGUGAUACUUCUUUCUGAAAGAAAUUUCUAAGAAAAAAAUGGAGAAAAGAACCUGGUCACACAGGCCAGAAGACUCUGAAGGACUCCCAAGACUGCUGGUUAAUUCUAGCCUGAUUCUCAGCAAAGUCACAAUAUUCAGACUUCCAAUUAAGAAACAUGGGUGGUUUUAACACCACCUUCUGAAGAUUAUACCUAUAUAACAUGUCUGCAGGUCUUUAUUGAUAUAUCAGAGUCACUGAAUGGAUUUGGGAGAACUCUGACUCUAAAAAGAAAUUGUUCAGCACGUUUUAAAGGAUGAGACCACGAAGUGAGGAGGAAGACCUCAGAAAGAUAAACAUGAAUAUGCUGCCUCAAAUCUUUUCACCACAGUGCUGAUGUGUAGAUGAAGAUCUGGGUUUUAAUUUUCUGUCAGCUUCAUCAGGGAUAAAAAAAUAUGACAUCCAAGGAUCCUCCAUGAAGAGCCACCAAGAAAGUCUUCACCUACAGAGCUUCCUUCUACACCCUCAUGGAAGGAUUCCCUGUGCUCCUAGUAGCACCCACCACUAAACUCAAGCCUACCACCAUCCAGAAAGGACUCGCCCAGUGGGACCAGCUGGAGCUCCACCCCAUCCCCCAUCCCCGGCCUAGAUCCAGCCUCUGAGCCUCCAUUUCAUUCUCAGCUCUUCUGAGGCAUUCCAGGGGUGACUGGAUGCCCAAGAGCCUGAGAACCAGAUGGCUCCGGCGUCUUUGCAGACUUGGGACCUGACCUGAGAGCCAGCUCGGGCUGUUUCCAGUACUCAGACUAUGCUUCCCCACACACCCCAGAGGGGUGUCCCACAGCUUUCCACAGCUCAACACCGGCCUGGUGACAGCAUGGAGUAGUGUGAUCAAACUUCCUGCAUCCAGCCUUCCAGAGACUAAUCCUACAGCAUCUCAGUUGUUUGAUUUUCAUUUCCCUGAUGAUUAAGCAUGUUGAACAUUUCUUUAAGUGCUUCUUGGAUAUUCAAGAUUACUCAGUUGAAAAUUUUCUGUUUAAUUUUAUAACAUUUUUUUAAAUUCGAUUAUUUGUUGUUUUGGUGUCUAACCUUUUGAUUCUUUAUAUAUAUUGGAUAUUAGCCCUUUGUCAGAUAGCGACUUGGUGAAGAUCUUUUCUCAUGUUUAGGCUACUGUUUUGUCUUCUUUAGAGUAUCUAUUGCCCUACAGAAGCUUUCAGUUUUAUGAAGUUAUGAUUAUCAACUAUCAAUGUUAGAGCCCUAGCCAUUGUUCUCUUCAAUAAAAUUUCUCCUAUGCCAA
rnacentral:sRNA from 1 species